UUUUUUAUUCUCUUUCAGGGUGGGAAAUCCUAUUAGCAGCUUAAAGCAGAGCUUGGGAGAUGCAACUGAUCUCAUCAAAAUUACUGUGGAUCUUACCCAACCAACCUCAAACCAAAACAACUCAAGUAGCUCAACUCAAGGGGGUAAUCUACCCCUUCCUGUCACACAAACCUUUCCUCCAGAGAAGCUGGUGAACAUUCAGACAGAAGACCUGCCUGAUGGAGUCGACGCCACAAGAAAAGAAGACUAUCUCUCAAACGAUGACUUUAACUGAUCAUGGGGAUUUCUCGG